UACGAAGGGGGCUAGCGUUGUUCGGAAUUACUGGGCGUAAAGCGUGCGCAGGCGGUUUGCUAAGACAGGUGUGAAAUCCCCGGGCUUAACCUGGGAACUGCGCUUGUUACUGGCAGGCUUGAGUGUGGCAGAGGGGGGUGGAAUUCCGACGUGUAGCAGUGAAAUGCGUAGAGAUGUGGAGGAACACCGAUGGCGAAGGCAGCCCCCUGGGCUAACACUGACGCUCAUGCACGAAAGCGUGGGGAGCAAACAGG
rnacentral:rRNA from 1 species